AUGACCUGUCAGAUUCGUCAGAAUUAUUCCACCGAAGUGGAAGCUGCGGUGAACCGCCUGGCCAACUUGCACCUGCGGGCCUCCUACACCUACCUCUCUGGGCUUAUUUUUUGAUCGGGAUGACAUGGCUCUGGAGGGCGUAGGCCACUUCUUCCACGAAUUGGCUGAGGAGAAGCUCGAGGGCGCCGAGCAUCUCCUCGAGUUGCAGGACGAUCGCGGGGGGGGGGGGCGUGCGCUCUUCCAGGAUGUGCAGAAGCAAUCUCAAGAUGAAUGGGGUACAACCCAGGAGGCUAUGGAAGCUACCUUGGCCCUGGAGAAGAAUCUGAACCAGGCCCUCUUGUAUCUGCAUGCCCUGGGUUCUGCCCGCACAGACCCUCAUCUCUGAUUUCUUGGAGAACCACUUCCUGCAUAAGGAGAUGAAACUCAUCAAGAAGAUGGGCAACCACCUGACCAACCUCCGUAGGGUGGCAGGGCCACAACCAGCGCAGACCGGCGUGCCCCAGGGAUCUCUGGGCGAGUAUCUCUUUGAGCGCCUCACUCUCAAGCACGACCAGGUGGCCUCUGUGCCUUCCAAGGGGCUCCCCCGCUCUGCUCUGCACCAGCCCGCCUCGGGACCUCCACCUGAAUGAACCUCUCAAGCCACUAGGCAGCUUUGUAACCGCUCUGG